rnacentral:rRNA from 1 species
ACAUGCAUUUCCUCCUCUUCUUUUUAAAUGCAAAAAGAGCAUGACAAUGGGGAGACCAGUUAGAAUGGACACAGACCUGCAAAUAAACACAACACAAAAUCACUAUUUCGCUUUCUUUCUAUUUGGUCGAACUGACUGUUGUAAGUCUAUUUGUGAACACACUUGGGCUGAGUGCACAAGAAAACAUAAGUGAAACUUUUGGCAUGACACUAGGAGAAGAUAAUUAACAUGACACAAAGUUAUACUAAACUAGCAACAAUUAAUAUGGAUCAGAGGGAGUACAUUAGAUAUAGUGUUUUCCUUUCUUCCAACAUUUUCAUUUUGAGUUUGAAAACUAAAUGAUUUCAAUUCGCCUCAAGAGCCUGAUUUCAAAAAAUAAUUGCGAUUUUGCACUAGAAUUUUAACGUCAGGUGAAAUAAUACAAUGACACUUUGAAUUGUUGUAAUUUGUUUUACCUUCAAGCUGAUGCAUUACAACAUUUGCAAACUCAUUCUCCAAGCCCAUUGAUCCAAGAGCAAGCUCCUGCGUUGCUUUCAUUGUAGUGGUCAGCAUUCAAAAUCAAGUCGCUGGUGAAGUUACAUUCUGAUCCUCUCUUUAUUAGUUGGGUUGUAGAGAUGGUUUACAGGGAUUCAGCGUUGCAUGAAAUGCAAAUAGAGGACAUGGAGACCAAUACAAACAUGAAAUGCAGAUAGAGGACAUGGAGACCAAAAUGAAAUCAAGCAUUCUAGUGAUAGUUCAGGCACAGACUGAACCAUUUAUCGUAAUAACAAUAAAAAAAGUAGAUACGAUAUAAUAUAGUUCAUGCACGGACUAAACCAUUCAUCAUAACAACAAUGAAAGUAAGACUAAUCACUCUUUAAUGCAGAUUCAAAUCAUACUCACCCGCAGCCCAGCCACUGUUGUGCCUAAAUGGUUGUAGAAGAGGAUGUAGAGAUACCAGCUGAUACUCUUGUCGACGCUGUCGAUCUUCUCAAGCAUAUAAUCUGGACCGCCACAGAGUGAAUUAGUUAGACAACAACAUGGACUCAUCAUCACCAUACAUAAACAAUAGGGCAUCGCUUCUCUUCUGGCAAACUAGGACUAACUAGAGAGAGAAAGAGAGAGCUUCCUGAUAUCGUUGCCACCAUAGAUGGCUAAUAGAGAUUGUGGCACCAGCCACCAUGCUCCUAGUCGCCAGAAGAUAAGGGAGCAGAGGCCGCACACCUCAGUCCGAACCACCAGGACCGAAGGAACCCUGUACUGCUCAGAUCUGCUACCAUGGGAGUGGGGAAGAGGAAGCUGUGUAUGGGUUGGGGCGGUGGCACCAUAGAAGGGAGGUGAGAGGUGACCUCACUGGGCGCUUGGGCACGAACAAAAAGUGCCGCCGUCGGCAGCUGGGUGAGGGCAUCGGUGUCACAGGACCUCCUCCGCAUGGGAAAUCAUCAGCGAUGUGGGGAUGGUAAUGGAGCCUCCGCAUGGUAAAUCAGCAGCGAUGUGGGGAUGGUAAUGGAGUGGUGGAAGGAAGAGAUGGACAGAGGGGUGAAAGCGUCG